GCCGGUUCGGACUGGUUCACGUGAAUCCGUAGCUGUGAUGAUCAGCUGAGAGCGAACUGGUUCGCACCAACUAUCAGCUGGGCCCACCCAUCCGGCCCAUGCUAUACCGACCCAUAUUUCCUUUGUUUGAAGCCCAGCUGAUAGACGCGCCAGAGCAGAUUGCCACGCCUCAGCUGUUUUACUCACCGGGACUGCAGUAGAAGGACCUACAGGGCAAUACUGCUGUGACUAACUUGGAUAUAUUGCAACAAUGAUUUCCACAUUUCACAAAUUGUUCUUGGGAUGAACUCAUUUCUAUUGAGAUGUUUCCCAAUGUGUACCUUAAACUGGACUUUCCAUCGAGAUCUGUAAGAUUGGCUGCUGCAGAAGCUGGUUCAAAUAUGUCCCUAUGACUUAUAAACCUGACUACAUGAUAAGGAAGUGCAACAGCUCAAGAAUGGAAUUCCAAAGAAAAGGCCUUUGAUCACAACAUUAAGCCAAGUCAAAAGAUGAGCCACCUAAGCAUACCACAGGCUUUCUGGAUCUUGC